AACAAGGCGUACCUGCGGACCUGCGGAGGGAUCAUUACAGAGUUCGUGCCCUCGCGGGUAGAUCUCCCACCCUUGUGUAUUCCUUACAUUUUGUUGCUUUGGCAGGCCGUUGGUUCGCCAACCACCGGCUCUACGGGCUGGUGCGUGCCUGCCAGAGGACCCCCCAAACUCGGUUUGUUAGUGUCGUCUGAGUAACCAUAACAAUCGUUAAAACUUUUAACAAUGGAUCUCAGAUCGGAA
rnacentral:misc_RNA from 1 species